GAACGCUGGCGGCGUGGAUAAGACAUGCAAGUCGAGCGGGACACAACUGGUAGCAAUAUCGGGUGUGUUUAGCGGCGCAAGGGUGCGUAACACGUGGGCAAUUUGCCAUAAAGCUGGGGAUAACUCCGGGAAACCGGAGCUAAUACCGAAUGUGAACAUCCGGAGGCAUCUUUGGAUGUUUAAAGCUGGGGACCGUAAGGCCUGGCACUUUAUGAUGAGCCCGCGGCCUAUCAGCUCGUUGGCGGGGUAACGGCCCACCAAGGCUAAGACGGGUAGCUGGUCUGAGAGGACGACCAGCCACACUGGAACUGAGACACGGUCCAGACACCUACGGGUGGCAGCAGUCGAGAAUUUUUCACAAUGGGCGCAAGCCUGAUGGAGCGACGCCGCGUGGGGGAUGAAGGGCUUCGGCUCGUAAACCCCUGUCAGUUGCGAACAAGAUCCAUUCAAUAACACUGGGUGGAUUGAUAGUAGUGACAGAGGAAGGGACGGCUAACUCUGUGCCAGCAGCCGCGGUAAUACAGAGGUCCCGAGCGUUGUUCGGAUUCACUGGGCGUAAAGGGUGCGUAGGCGGCUUUGCAAGUCUGAUGUGAAAUCUCCGGGCCCAACCCGGAAAUGGCAUUAGAAACUGUGAGGCUGGAGGCUUGGAGGGGGAACUGGAAUGCUCGGUGUAGCAGUGAAAUGCGUAGAGAUCGAGCGGAACACCAGUGGCGAAGGCGAGUUCCUGGACAAGACCUGACGCUGAGGCACGAAAGCCAGGGGAGCAAACAGGAUUAGAUACCCUGGUAGUCCUGGCUGUAAACGGUGCACGUUUGCUGUAAGAGGAAUCGACCCCUUUUGUGGCGGAGCUAACGCGAUAAACGUGCCGCCUGGGGAGUACGGUCGCAAGAUUAAAACUCAAAGAAAUUGACGGGGGCCUGCACAAGCGGUGGAGUAUGU
rnacentral:rRNA from 1 species